rnacentral:rRNA from 1 species
GACGAACGCUGGCGGCGUGCUUAACACAUGCAAGUCGAACGGAAAGGCCCUGCUUUUGUGGGGUGCUCGAGUGGCGAACGGGUGAGUAACACGUGAGUAACCUGCCCUUGACUUUGGGAUAACUUCAGGAAACUGGGGCUAAUACCGGAUAGGAGCUCCUGCUGCAUGGUGGGGGUUGGAAAGUUUCGGCGGUUGGGGAUGGACUCGCGGCUUAUCAGCUUGUUGGUGGGGUAGUGGCUUACCAAGGCUUUGACGGGUAGCCGGCCUGAGAGGGUGACCGGCCACACUGGGACUGAGAUACGGCCCAGACUCCUGCGGGAGGCAGCAGUGGGGAAUAUUGCACAAUGGGCGGAAGCCUGAUGCAGCAACGCCGCGUGCGGGAUGACGGCCUUCGGGUUGUAAACCGCUUUCGCCUGUGACGAAGCGUGAGUGACGGUAAUGGGUAAAGAAGCACCGGCUAACUACGUG